AGCAGCCGCGGUAAUUCCAGCUCCAAUAGCGUAUAUUAAAGUUGUUGCAGUUAAAAAGCUCGUAGUUGAAUUUCGGGAUCAAUAUGUUGGUCGUGCCUUGGUACGUACUGGCGUCAUUGGUUUCUACCUUCUGAAGAACCUCGAUGUCAUUAAUUUGGUGUCUUGGGGAAUCAGGACUGUUACUUUGAAAAAAUUAGAGUGUUUAAAGCAAGCUCACGCUUGAAUACAUUAGCAUGGAAUAAUGAAAUAGGACGUUUGAUUCUAUUUUGUUGGUUUCUAGGAUCGACGUAAUGAUUAAUAGGGAUAGUUGGGGGCAUUAGUAUUCAAUUGUCAGAGGUGAAAUUCUUGGAUUUAUUGAAGACUAACUACUGCGAAAGCAUUUGCCAAGGAUGUUUUCAUUAAUCAAGAACGAAAGUUAGGGGAUCGAAGACGAUCAGAUACCGUCGUAGU
rnacentral:rRNA from 1 species